rnacentral:rRNA from 1 species
UAAUAGCGGAGAAAAGAAACCAACAGGGAUUGCCCCAGUAACGGCGAGUGAAGCGGCAGCAGCUCAAAUUUGAAAUCUGGGGUCCCCGACCUCCGAGUUGUAAUUUGGAGAGGCAUCUUCGGGGGGGAGCGCCGGCCCAUGUUCCUUGGGACAGGACGUCACAGAGGGUGAGAAUCCCGUGCCUGGCCGGCUGCCUCCUCUCGGGUGGAGGGCCUUCGACGAGUCGAGUUGUUUGGGAAUGCAGCUCCAAGUGGGUGGUAAAUUUCAUCUAAAGCUAAAUACCGGCGGGAGACCGAUAGCGCACAAGUAGAGUGAUCGAAAGAUGAAAAGCACUUUGAAAAUAGAGUCAAAAAGUACGUGAAAUUGUUGAAAGGGAAGCGCUUGAGACCAGACUCGGGCCCGGGCAAACAUCGCGCCCCUCGGGGCCGUGCAAUUGUCCGGGCCUGGGCCAGCAUCAGUUGGCGUGGCGGGACAAAGGCGCGGGGAAUGUGGCUCCCCUCGGGGAGUGUUAUCAGGCCCGCGCUCAAUGCCGCCGACGUCGACUGAGGACCGCGCCUCGGCUAGGAUGCUGGCUUAAUGGCCUUCAGCGACCCGUCUUGAAACACGGACCAAGGAGUCUAACAUCUAUGCGAGUGUUUGGGCGACAAACCCUUGCGCGGAAUGAAAGUGAGCGGAGGUGGGAACCCCCCAGCGGGGCGCACCAUCGACCGAUCCUGAUGUCUUCGGAUGGAUUUGAGUAGGAGCAUAGCUGUUGGGACCCGAAAGAUGGUGAACUAUGCCUGAAUAGGGUGAAGCCAGAGGAAACUCUGGUGGAGGCUCGCAGCGGUUCUGACGUGCAAAUCGAUCGUCAAAUUUGGGUAUAGGGGCGAA